rnacentral:rRNA from 1 species
GAUGAACGCUGGCGGCGUGCCUAAUACAUGCAAGUCGAGCGAACAGACGAGGAGCUUGCUCCUCUGACGUUAGCGGCGGACGGGUGAGUAACACGUGGAUAACCUACCUAUAAGACUGGGAUCACUUCGGGAAACCGGCGCUAAUCCCGGAUAAUAUAUUGAACCGCAUGGUUCAAUAGUGAAAGACGGUUUUGCUGUCACUUCUCGAUGGAUACGCGCCGCAUUAGCUGGUUGGUACGGUAACGGCUUAUUACGGCAACGAUGCGUAGCCGAGCGGAGAGAGUGAUAGGCGGCACGGGAGCGUGGACGCGGUCCAUGCUCCUACGAGACGGAGCAGAAGGGUAUGGUCGGCAGUAGGCGAAAGCUUGGCGGAGCAACGGCGCGUGAGUUAUGAAAGUCUUCGGAUCGUGAAGCCCUGUUAUGGGGGAAAAACAGAUGUGUAAGGAAAUGUGCAGUUCUUGACGGUACCGAAUCAGAAAGCAACGGCUAACUACGUG